AGAGUUUGAUCAUGGCUCAGGAUGAACGCUAGCGGCAGGCUUAAUACAUGCAAGUCGAGGGGCAGCAGCUUUGUAGCAAUACAGAGGCUGGCGACCGGCAAACGGGUGCGGAACACGUACAGAACCUUCCUUCGAGCGGGGAAUAGCCCAGAGAAAUUUGGAUUAAUACCCCAUAGCAUAUUGAUAAGGCAUCUUAUUAAUAUUAAAGAUUUAUCACUUGAAGAUGGCUGUGCGGCUGAUUAGGUAGUUGGCGGGGUAACGGCCCACCAAGCCUACGAUCAGUAACUGGUGUGAGAGCACGACCAGUCACACGGGCACUGAGACACGGGCCCGACUCCUACGGGAGGCAGCAGUAAGGAAUAUUGGUCAAUGGACGCAAGUCUGAACCAGCCAUGCCGCGUGGAGGAUGAAGGUCCUCUGGAUUGUAAACUUCUUUUAUCUGGGACGAAAAAGGAUCUUUCUAGAUCAACUGACGGUACCAGAUGAAUAAGCACCGGCUAACUCCGUGCCAGCAGCCGCGGUAAUACGGAGGGUGCAAGCGUUAUCCGGAUUCACUGGGUUUAAAGGGUGCGUAGGUGGGUUGGUAAGUCAGUGGUGAAAUCUCUGAGCUUAACUCGGAAACUGCCAUUGAUACUAUCAGUCUUGAAUAUUGUGGAGGUCAGCGGAAUAUGUCAUGUAGCGGUGAAAUGCUUAGAUAUGACAUAGAACACCAAUUGCGAAGGCAGCUGGCUACACAUAUAUUGACACUGAGGCACGAAAGCGUGGGGAUCAAACAGGAUUAGAUACCCUAGUAGUCC
rnacentral:rRNA from 1 species